UAUAGCCGCUACAGAGGAUUGCAGACUCUGCCCUUAAGUGUAUGCUCAGGUGCGGUAGUGGGGUAUCGUUAGGCAGACUUAGAAAUGAACUGAGCAUUGAGGGUGUAGAUAGAUUAGCUGCAUCCAAAAGAGCAAGGGAGAUUGGCAAAUUCCCUUCUCUGAGGAUAUGGAUAUCGGUGCUUAUGGAAAGCAAACCAUCUGUAAGGAAGAACACAUGGGUGACGACGGGAAAGCGAUGGCUCAAGACCUUCGUCGGCGGAGGUGCAGUGGCGGGUGAGGGUUCGAGGCUGAGAUUUGUUGAG
rnacentral:lncRNA from 1 species